UACAGAGGUCUCAAGCGUUAUUCGGAUUCACUGGGCGUAAAGGGUGCGCAGGCGGCCGUGUGUGUGAGGCGUGAAAGCCCGGGGCUUAACCCCGGAAUUGCACCUCAAACUACACGGCUAGAGCAUUGGAGAGGGUAGCGGAAUUCACGGUGUAGCAGUGAAAUGCGUAGAUAUCGUGAGGAACACCAGAGGCGAAGGCGGCUACCUGGACAAUUGCUGACGCUCAGGCACGAAAGCGUGGGGAGCAAAAGGG
rnacentral:rRNA from 1 species